GUUCUUGGGGCGGGGUGUAAUUCCCCACCGGCGGUGUUGGAAUAAGUCCUCAGCCCGCGAGCGCCCGUUAUAUUUUACGGGGUCAGCAGAUUCGGUGAUAUUCCGAAGCCGACGGUUAAAGUCCGGAUGAUAAAGAGC
rnacentral:ncRNA from 1 species